AUGAAUGCUAGUGAGAUGCUUGACACAUGCGAAUUGAAAGAUGUAAAAAUUUUAGUGCACGGGUGCGUAAUACACAGGAUGAAUUACCUUUUAGUUUGGGUAGAAACCAGAUAUAAAAAUUGAUUGCUAAAAGAUAUGCUUGUGUACGAUUAGAUAGUUGGUAAUGUAAGAGACUACCAAGUCUGUGAUCGUUAGUUGAUUUGAGAGAAUGAUCAGCCACACUGGGACUGAGACAAGGCCCAGAUUUUAAAUAAUCAGCAGUGCGGAAUAUUGGACAAUGGGCGAAGGCCUGAUCCAGCAAUCUUACAUGAAGGAGUGAAAACACAGAAGUUUUAAACUUUACUAUUAAAGCAAAUUUAGAUAUACUUUAAAAAAAAGUCCCGGCAAACUCCGU
rnacentral:rRNA from 1 species